GACGAACGCUGGCGGCAUGCCUAAUACAUGCAAGUCGAGCGAACAGAUGAAGUGCUUGCGCUUCUGACGUUAGCGGCGAACGGGUGAGUAACACGUAAGGAAUCUACCUAUAAGCGGGGGAUAACAUUCGGAAACGGGUGCUAAUACCGCAUAAUAUCUUCUUCCGCAUGGAAGAAGAUUGAAAGACGGCUCUGCUGUCACUUAUAGAUGACCUUGCGGUGCAUUAGUUAGUUGGUGGGGUAAUGGCCUACCAAGACGAUGAUGCAUAGCCGACCUGAGAGGGUGAUCGGCCACAUUAGGACUGCGACACGGCCCAAACUCCUACGGGAGGCAGCAGUAGGGAAUCUUCCGCAAUGGGCGAAAGCCUGACGGAGCAAUGCCGCGUGAGUGAAGAAGGCCUUCGGGUCGUAAAACUCUGUUAUAAGAGAAGAACAAAUUGUAGAGUAACUGCUACAGUCUUGACGGUAUCUUAUCAGAAAGCCACGGCUAACUACGUGCCAGCCGCCGCGGUAA
rnacentral:rRNA from 1 species